rnacentral:lncRNA from 1 species
GCCAUUUUCGUUUCAUCUUUUUUAAAGCUGCCUUCUUUUCAAGUAAAUCAUUUUACCCAUAAAUAUUUCAGUAUGUAUCUAACAUAUGAAGAUUUUCUAAAAGCAGUAACCACAAUGCUAUUAUAAUGUGUAAAAGUAACACAUAAAAAUAAUUCCUUAAAACCAUCUAAAACUCAAUCUGUAUCCAAAAUUCCUCUGUUGCUUCUAAUGUUUUUCUUUUGUUUUCUUUCUUCUUCUUCUUCAUUUUCUUUUCUUUUUUUUUUUUUUACAGGGCACAAUGAUUUAUGAAUUGUUAUUCCCACUUGAGGAUUCAUCUUAAGAAAUUGGACUCCGCUUCAGAAUUCUUCUGAGCACAGCAUCCCAGAGCACCCCUGUACACAGUCUACCACGUAACACAAGAGGCACCAAGUAGAAGUUUUGUUGGAUCUAAUGACCACUUGCCUUUUGAAAGAAGAUUUUAAUCAAGGAUGCCUCUUGAGCCCAUUAGAAUUUUCACAUGGAAGGAGUUCCAGCAGGGAGGCCCAUCUUGGAGUGAGUGUGAUGAGAAGUGCAUCUUUCCAGCAUCUCUCAGAUGGUUCCUAACAGAUGCCUUCAUGUGAAAUCAGUCUCAUCAUCAAAACUAAGAGUAGUUGGACCUCAAUGAACAGGGACUUUGAGGAAGCGGGGGUGAGCUGGGGCGUGGGUGGGGAAGGCAACUGGGUCUAACUUCAUUCCACCCAGAUGUCCUUUCUGUGAGCCUCUGAUUAUUCUAUCCUGAAUCUGAAGGAAACGUGUAGAGGUCUUGAGUCACAACCUAGAAGGCCAAAUUCUUAUGAGACAAUAAAAAUCUGAACCAAAUGCUGGCCCUGCUGGGCCCGUCUGUUAUUGGAAUUAAGUUCCACUUUUCAUUUCAUUCAAACUGAAGAAACUUUCUGGCAGGGUGUCAGGUUUCAAACAGAAAUGUCAGCCAAGGGCUCGUGAGGCCAAGAUCC